rnacentral:rRNA from 1 species
GACGAACGCUGGCGGCGUGCUUAACACAUGCCAGUCGAACGGCAAGGCCCUGCUUUUGUGGGGUGCUCGAGUGGCGAACGGGUGAGUAACACGUGAGUAACCUGCCCUUGACUUUGGUAUAACUUCAGGAAACUGGGGCUAAUACCGGAUAGGAGCUCCUGCUGCAUGGUGGGGGUUGGAAAGUUUCGGCGGUUGGGGAUGGACGCGCGGCUUAUCAGCUUGUUGGUGGGGUAGUGGCUUACCAAGGCUUUGACGGGUAGCCGGCCUGAGAGGGUGACCGGCCACAUUGGGACUGAGAUACGGACCAGACUCCUACGGGAGGCAGCAGUGGGGAAUAUUGCACAAUGGGCGGAAGCCUGAUGCAGCAACGCCGCGUGCGGGAUGACGGCCUUCGGGUUGUAAACCGCUUUCGCCUGUGACGAAGCGUGAGUGACGGUAAUGGGUAAAGAAGCACCGGCUAACUACGUG